AAGUAUUCAAAGAAACACAAAAGCUAAAAGUUGUGAGUUGUAAUGUCAGUAAUCAUUCAAACUUCUCAACGCUUUUGUCUUUUGCAAAUCGGCAUUGAACUCCCUGGGUAGUUAAGUGACUACUGGAAAAUUCAAAAUUUUGAAAUUUUUCAAACUUUGCUGUAGCUAAGAAAGCUUGGGAAAUAUAGUGGUACAUA
ensembl:ncRNA R03A10.8 ncRNA